UGCCCUAGUAACGGCGAGUGAAGCGGCAACAGCUCAAAUUUGAAAUCUGGCCCUAGGCCCGAGUUGUAAUUUGUAGAGGAUGCUUUUGGUGACGUGCUUACCGAGUCCCCUGGAACGGGGCGCCACAGAGGGUGAGAGCCCCGUAUGGUUUGCCGCCGAGCCUCUGUAAAGCUCCUUCGACGAGUCGAGUAGUUUGGGAAUGCUGCUCUAAAUGGGAGGUAAAUUUCUUCUAAAGCUAAAUACCGGCCAGAGACCGAUAGCGCACAAGUAGAGUGAUCGAAAGAUGAAAAGCACUUUGAAAAGAGGGUUAAAUAGCACGUGAAAUUGUUGAAAGGGAAGCGCUCGUGACCAGACUUGCGCCGGGCGGAUCAUCCAGCGUUCUCGCUGGUGCACUCCGCCCGGCUCAGGCCAGCAUCGAUUUUCGCCGGGGGACAAAAGCUUCGGGAACGUGGCUCUCUUCGGGGAGUGUUAUAGCCCGUUGCGUAAUACCCCGGCGGGGAUCGAGGACCGCGCUUCGGCAAGGAUGCUGGCGUAAUGGUCAUCAGCGACCCGUCUUGAAACACGGACCGAGGAGUCAAGCAUUAGUGCGAGUGUUUGGGUGUAAAACCCGCACGCGUAAUGAAAGUGAACGUAGGUGAGAGCUUCGGCGCAUCAUCGACCGAUCCUGAUGUUUUCGGAUGGAUUUGAGUAGGAGCAUUAACGCUUGGACCCGAAAGAUGGUGAACUAUACUUGAAUAGGGUGAAGCCA
rnacentral:rRNA from 1 species